rnacentral:rRNA from 1 species
GAUUUCUGGUACGGCGCGCUUGGCCCGCCAGGGUUACCUGGUUGUGUGCUGGUGCGCGCCUGCCAUCCUUUUGCAUUUCAGUUCUAUCCUUUACUGGUGUGUAACUGGUUUGCAAAUCUUUUACUUUGAAAAAAUUAGAGUGUUUAAAGCAGGCUUGCGCUAUGAAUACAUUAGCAUGGAAUAAUAAUCUAGGACUUUCGGUUCUAUUUUGUUGGUGUUCUGGAGCUGAAGUAAUGAUUGAUAGGGAUAGUUGGGGGUGCUAGUAUUCAAUGGCCAGAGGUGAAAUUCUCGGAUUCCUUGAAGACUAACUUAUGCGAAAGCAUU